rnacentral:lncRNA from 1 species
GGUGUGUGGGGGGUGUGGUUAUGUUAAAAUUCCCUCUUCCUGGAAUACCGAACACCUAUGUCACUCUUGUGGAUGAUGAUAAAUUCAUCAGUCUUUGCAACAUCGGAGCAAGAGAAAUCCCACCAUGCUCUUCAGAGGGAAAAGGAUACCCAUGCCCAUCCAAUGAAACAUUUGUGUGCAUGGCUACAGGAGCGCUACACUAUGUCAGCAUGGAAACUCGCCACAACCAGAGUCUGCGUUUGGAAAGUGAGUUUCUUUCCAUGAGGAAAGAUCUUUUAGUGAAAGCCUUCACAAUCAUGGAACCCACAUGGCCACCUGGUAAGAGAUAGUAAAUCAAUAAAAUAGUUCAUAUUUUUCA